rnacentral:rRNA from 1 species
AUUGAACGCUGGCGGCAUGCCUUACACAUGCAAGUCGAACGGCAGCACGGGAGCAAUCCUGGUGGCGAGUGGCGAACGGGUGAGUAAUAUAUCGGAACGUGCCCAGUCGUGGGGGAUAACGCAGCGAAAGCUGUGCUAAUACCGCAUACGAUCUAUGGAUGAAAGCGGGGGAUCGCAAGACCUCGCGCGAUUGGAGCGGCCGAUAUCAGAUUAGGUAGUUGGUGGGGUAAAGGCCCACCAAGCCGACGAUCGGUAGGGGAUCUGAGAGGAUAAUCCCCCACACUGGCACUGAGAUACGGGCCAGACUCCUACGGGAGGCAGCGAGUAGGGAAUAUUGGGCGAAUGGUCGCAAGACUCGACCCACGCCAUGCCGCGUGCAGGAAGAAGGCGCUCAGCGUUAGUAACUGUCUUUUAUCAAGGAAAGAAAAGUUCUUGCGAGAACAAUUGACGGUACUUGAAGAAU